UCAACUAGGAAUUCAGAUUCUGAUGCAAUGGAUCAGGCUCAAGAGUCUGCAUUUCUAGCAAGUUCCCAGGUGAUGCCAAUGCUGCU
rnacentral:miRNA from 1 species